GCGGGCGUGGUGGAAUUGGUAGACGCGCUGGACUCAAAAUCCAGUUCCGAAAGGAGUGCCGGUUCGACCCCGGCCGCCCGCACCA
rnacentral:tRNA from 25 species